ensembl:lncRNA
GUGGCAAUAUGCAAUUUUUGAUGCACAAAGGACUGCUUCUUUGAUGCACAAAGAAUAAUUUGAUGCAUGAAUAAGGAACAUUUACUUGAUGCACAAAGAGAUUUUUUUGAGGAACAAUUUUUUAUUUAUAUAUAUAUAAUUUUUUUCAUCAUCAUGUCUUCUUUGUAUGUGGAUGCUCUAUAAAUUCAAAGGCAGGGUCUGAGGUGUAAAACGGGUUCAAGCAGUGUGUCUAGCUUCUUUUCAAAACUUCUGACCAAAGAGGAGAAAUCCUUUUGGUGGCAGAGCCCUCUUCAUCUUGACAUCCUCAUCGUCAAACGUACCCUGAAAAGAUGUGAGAUUCCUUGCCUCAACAACACUUCAUCUUUUGUGUGGGCCAGCAAGUGGCUUAACAGGAACACAGGUUGGUUCCAGAACAGUCAUUUUUGUGGACACAGCAACGGGGUGUUCAUGCAGAGACGUACGUUUGUCCACCCUCGCUGGUCGACUUGCAAAACUGGGCAGCCAAGGUAGGGAGAGGUGAGCGGUAGUUUUCCGAUCAGACUCACAUAAAUCGUCAUUGAUGCUUCUCUUUGUCAUGCUCAUUGAAUGGUUAGUAGGUCUGGACCCUCGACGCCCCAGAGGUCUUUCACCUGAAACUGAUGUCUUCUCUUCAGCUUCUGGCAAGAAGAAAUGUCCAGCUGACUUGUUCUGUCCAACUAGAGGUUUCACAGGGAAAUGGGUUUGUUCUAGAACAGGCAUGUUCGUGGACAGAGCAACAGGGCAUUCAUGCAGAGAUGUUUGUUUGUCCACCCUCACUAACUGACUUGCAAGUCUAGGCAGUGGGGGUAAGGAAAGGUGAGCAUUAGCUUUCAGAUCAGACUUGCAUGAAGAUUCUGUGACAUUUUUCUCUGCCACAUCCAUUAAAUAGGUAGGAGGUCUUGGCCCGUGACGUCCUGGAGGAUUUUCACCUGAAGCUGGCUUCUUUUGUCCAGUCUCAGGCAAAAAGGGAGGUCUGCCAAAAAUCUGUUUGCCUAGGCAUAGCAUAGAUUGACUCUGGAGAGUAUUUCUGUCUCUGCACCACAUGUUGAAAUGCUGGAGUAAAGAUUAUCUCAACAACAGCAACAAAACUGGCUUGAAUGAGCGAUAAGCAAGCAGCAAUCACAACAGUCAGAUGCCAAAUGAGGCUCUUUUCAGCAGGAUUCUUUGUAAUGUGUAAGGGCUAUUAUGAUGUCAUAAUAGAAUGUAGGUCCGUUAAGCUGAGUUCAUUCUAUUAGUGUUAUAUCUACUGAGGAUUUUUUUU